UGGGGGUCACUUCAGGGUCGCAUUCAUUUCAUACUCAAAACUGAUAAAAGUCGCAUUUAAUGUGUGUUAUGAACGAGCACACGAAAAAAUCAGAUUUCACCAAAAAAUCCGAAUUGUCCAUUCAGACAUGCUGUCUGAACGUAGCCUUAGGUGGCGGUG